rnacentral:rRNA from 1 species
ACCCACUAGCCAAUGACGGGUAUGGGCCUUGAGAGAGGGAGCCCAGAGAUGGAUUCUGAGACACGAAUCCAGGCCCUACGGGGCGCAGCAGUCGCGAAAACUUCACAAUGGGGGCAACCCCGAUGAGGGAAUUCCUAGUGCUAGCACAUUAGUGUUAGCUUUUCUUUAGCGUAGAUAACUAGAGGAAUAAGGGCUGGGUAAGACGGGUGCCAGCCGCCGCGGUAAUACCCGCAGCCCAAGUGGUGGUCGAUUUUAUUGAGUCUAAAACGUUCGUAGCCGGUUUGAUAAAUCUUUGGGUAAAUCGGAAAGCUUAACUUUCCGACUUCCGAGGAGACUGUCAAACUUGGGACCGGGAGAGGCAAGAGGUACUUGGGGGGUAGGGGUAAAAUCCUGUAAUCCUUCAAGGACCACCGGUGGCGAAGGCGUCUUGCUAGAACGGAUCCGACGGUGAGGGACGAAGCCCUGGGUCGCAAACGGGAUUAGAUACCCCGGUAGUCCAGGGUGUAAACGCUGCAGACUUGGUGUUGGGGACCCUUUGGGGGUGUUCAGUGCCGGAGAGAAGUUGUUAAGUCUGCUACUUGGGGAGUACGUCCGCAAGGAUGAAACUUAAAGGAAUUGGCGGGGGAGCACCGCAACGGGA